UUACAGGAUGCACUAGAUGAAUGUAAUCAUUAAUUUGUAGGAAGAGAGAGAAAAUACAUUACUGAGUGAGCAAAAAUCAGUAAGUGAGUAAGAAAGAGGGAUAAUGAAGGAAUUGAGUAAAGGAGGUCUUUUUAAAUGAUCCUGUUCCAAAUCAGCUCCCACAGUUUGGAGAUAAAAGAACCAGUUGCCAUGGCAACGCAAGUGUAAAAGGGAAGGUAUCUGAUAGGCUGUGCAGGGGUGGUUCAUCCUAUGACACACACACACACAUACACAUGUGGCCACAAGUGUACCCAGAUAAGAUUAUUUCAGCCUCUCCUACACAUCUAAGCAAAGCCCUUAAGAAUAUACACCCGAUCUAAUACUUUGUGCAGACUAUAGGGCUCCUGCCUGCCCCAAAUAUGUGAGAAAUGCUUUAACAAUUGUGUUCUGGAAUGGACAACUGUUGUUUCUCCAAAAAAGUCAAACACGGGUUCAAUAAGGUCAACAACACUCCUUUAAUAAUCAAGAGGAAAAAGCUCUUAUGUUUUAUUUCACAUUUCAUAAAUUUCACAUUGUGAAAAAAAUCACUUGUACAAAAUAACGUUAACCGCUGUGGUUGUGACAGAGCGACAACAGAAUAACAUAAUAUAACAUACUAGGACAUCAUACAGAAUAGAACAAUACAGCCCAACAUUGACAGCGUUGACAGACAAAGGCAGACGAUGAUUAAGAGUUUUAUGCCAAGUGCAAGCCUGUGACUCGGCUCUUGAUCUUCCAGUCGGAAAAAGAGGGUCAGUGGGAGAGAAAGAGACAGGGGGAGAGAGGAAAAACAAAACACUUGACAGAUACCAGUUCAAAUGGUGUGCGUUGUUGGGGGACAGGACGGAGGAGGGGGGAUUGUUGACCAUUGCCUGGGAAACGCUACUUGAGACGAGGCAAGAAUGGGCUAUCUGAUUGGCUGGCGGUUUGUGUGCAGUGUACUGGAAAAAAAACAGAGAGGGCUUUCUGUUUAAGCAUAGAUGUGAGAGCUUCAAAGGCAGCAGGGUAAAGCAGCACUUCAUUGAAAAGGGAGUAGGUGGAAAGGAAGAAGGUCUGGGAAGGAAUGUGAAGCUUGACCUCUCUCUUUCUUCUUUCUAUCUUGAUAUCUAUUCUAUAAGAAACCAAUUUCAAACAAUUUUCCACCAUUGCUUUGACAGAGAUCUUCUAUACAGCUAGCAUUAGUUUGAUUUUAAAAAAAAGCAUACAGAACUGCUAAGAUUUCAAUUUUAUCAGUUCACUAUUGCAUAAGCUUAUGCAUACCCUCUUCACACUUAGGUUAUAAAUUGUCCUCACAAUUUUGUCCAAAUUGUUAUACUACAGUUCCUUUUCAUUGCUCUAUUAAGACGAUAUCCUGUGAUACAUACAAACAUAGCGUCUUAUGACCUUUGGAAUGUAGCAUCAUCACUGCCGUGAAAAAAUAUACAGUAUACGUUUAAAGAACUCCAUUAUUCACCAAAUGUAGACAGUUUUGGACAAAAAAAAAACCCUUCAUAACACUUAGGACUGGUAGUACAGAAACCCUGAGGAAAGGCAAAUUUACAGUCCAACGCCAUUCUUUCAACUUACAGAUGUUGGUGGUAAAGACAUUUAACAGCAAUCUAAGGACAGCUUCAAUGUGUCUCUUACCAUGCGUAAGCCUCUGAAUAGGAAAAAAGAGCAAAUAUCUAUGUAGAGGGUGUUAAUAAUAAUUAACACCUGCCACUGUGCUCAGGGACAUCAGUGACAGUUCCAGCUGUUCUGGGAGCAGCUGCUGAUGUCAGAUUUCUCACUCCAUGGCAUGGUGUCCUUAUCGGUCAUAUCAAAUUAGACUGACAAGAAGUUAGAAUGUGUUUGAGUAUUGUUAAACUACAAAGCAGAGUCAGCAAGUGGCCACUCUGACAUUCAGUCAGCUAAGGCCAAGGUUUUAACCAAACAUAGUAGUUCAAUAGGUUCAUCAUUGGAAUUAUUGUAGCUUGGAACAUUUUUUUUUGUUCACAAGUGUAGUUCGGUUUUCAAAAUAAUCCAAUCAGACAUAUUGCUUCUUUAGCAAAUUUACCUUCUUUUAUAGGUUUUGGUGUAGCUGUAUACUGCUAGCAUAAACCGUGAAUUGAACUUUUUUUUUUGCACUAGAUCACAGUAUGAAUUCUUAACCCCCAGCCCAUCCCCCACGGGUUCCCAAACCAACCGCUCCAUUGUAUCCUGCGUAAUCUGAUCCUACAACGUCAUUCCUCCCAUUCUUAUCUGGGUGAUGACCUAAGACUCCAAGCCUGCCUGCUUUCAGGUCAGUCAAACUAGAGGUCCAGGAUUCUCUGACCCCUCGAAAUUCAGCUGCGCUACGGUGUGACAGACAUGUGCAAAAGAGCAGUUCUUAUGUAACUCAAAGCAGUAUGGGCCAUGCGUAGCACAAAACAUCCGCCAAAUUCUGUACAGCUGUAUAUGCUGGAUAUGUAUGCAAGCAUUUUUUUGAUCAAUAAAUACAACAAAUAAACAUACACAGUUCAAAUUAACAGCAAAACUAAAACAUUUGUAAAAUAAAGCUCAUAAAUUAAGACUAUGUAUAGACACUGUGUUCUUUUCAGUUCAGGUUGUUCUUUGUUGUUUCCAUGGAGACAUUUCCUCUCCAGCAGACAGAACGACUCUCACCUUUCUCUCUCUCUCUGUGUCAUUCUGCCUUUCACAUUUAUAUUGAGACUGUAUGUGCGAGAACAGAACCACUCAGCACAAAGUUAAGCAGCCUAACUUUAUACCAAUAGGUUCUCUUGUCUAGAAGUCAUUAGGAGGUGUUGACAAAAUGACAGCGUCUCUUCUUAGAAAAAGCCAGUUGCUUUCUGUAAUGCUCGUCAUCCAUCCGGAGCAAGUUCUCGGUGGACAUGCUUGUUGUUGUUUUUUUGGAAGAAGAAUGAAUAAUAUAACAUGGUCAACUGUAUUUUCACUCAGGGAAACAUGCUGGGACAUGCUAGUCUUUUCCACAUACAAACACAUACACAAACACACAUCUGGUGUGUGGGUCACCUCAGGAUGCCUUCUCACAGCAAGUUUUACACCAGCUUGAGGAGGUCUGUUUGUCAGGAAGUGACCAGAGUCAGACAUGGGAGACAAACAACUUGUCUCGCCUUCUUGUGAUAAUGAAGCCUUUCUAUUGUCUCUGCCUUACAAUUCUGAAGAAGAAAUGCACUAUAUGAAAAAGUAGAGCACAGGCACAGUGAAAUCUAAAAAAAAAAAAUAUUAAAGAGGCGUCUUCAUGCUUUCAUUUGGAAAUCAGUCAUCCAAAUAUUGUAACCCUGCCUCCCUCUUGUUCAGUUCCACUGGGUGAAGCUCUUCUUGCAAGAUGCACAGAGAAGUAGUUUAGUUUACACACCAUUUGCAUCUCUGAACAAAAUAGUUGGUAUGCGCCAACACACAGAUAUGACAGCAAAACGUGCCAGGGGCUAAUUGGCCUCAUUUGGUUGUCAAGGCAAACAACGUCCCAAGACUUUGACAAUGGAAAGUUUAUGCAAAGUUUUCCCAACACAGAACGUCUUUUAAAGCGCAAAAAUCCAAAACAAAACAGUGAAAGCUUCGCUGCUGGAUAUCUUCAAUAUUAAAGAUGGAAGAAGAAGCCUUUUGAUGAAAUUGCACAGAAAGCAGGAAAUCGUCACAGCUGGAAUCCAGCACAUCACACAGGAAUUCUGUAAAGAAAGCAGACAACACAUGAUAUUUUAAAUCAUUUCAUUUUGAAGUUGCUUUUCCCAUUAAGGCAUAAAAUCCCACUGUCCCAAACAGAACAAACCACAUUUUUGCUAAAUGGACUCAAACAAUGAAGAGCAGGCAUUUUCCCAAAACACUGGGACACACUGCAGGAAAAAAUAAAUAAAGAUAAAGUCCAGAUGCUCAGUCCUGAGCCUGGCCAUUUGUUCUCCUACUUUUCCUGUCAUCCUCAAGGAAAAACAGUUUGAGAAGGACAGGUCAUGUGCUCACACCUGUUUGAAUGUCAUGCAAGGGCAAUACAAACCCUAAAAUAUAGCCAUGUGACCUCAGUAGAACCUGGAAUAUUCUUACUUUGACAUCACCUGGCUAUGCAACUGAUCUACAAUAAUCAUGGUUUCUGUAAGAGCAGCGGUGGAAAGUGACAAACUACAUAUACACUUGUUACAGUACUUAAGUACAUCCAUCCAUCCAUCUUCAACCGCUUACUCCUUUUCAGGGUCACGGGGAACCUGGAGCCUAUCCCAGGAAGCAUCAGUCACAAGGCAGGGUACACCCUGGACAGGGUGCCAGUCCAUUGCAGGGCACACUCACACACCCAUUCAUACACUACGGACACUUUAGACACACCAAUCAGCCUACCAUGCAUGUCUUUGGACUGGGGGAGGAAACCACCGCAGCAUGAGGAGAACAUGCAAACACACAUGGCCCCGGCGGGAAUCGAACCCCAGACCCUGGAGGUGUGAGGCGAACAUGCUUAUCACAGAAACACUCAAAAGUCGAAAGAGAAUUUGAAUUAAGCUGCAUGACUUGUCUGGAAGCUAGACAAAUGUUAUUGUGUUAAGCAUUAAUUAUAGGCUGGCAUGAAAUAUUUAAGAUAAUGUGCAAGGGGAAUAUGUGCUAGAUGGCUAACUAUGUAGCUAGAACCAUGUAUGAAUUAACAUGAGCUAGUUAGCUAAACAAACCAAGCAUGCUAGUGAACCUCCAUCAGCUAGCCAGCUAAUGUUCCCUUUUUUAUAUACUGCUGACAAUCAACGUGGUGUUCAUUUCAGCAUAAUGCAUAACAAGAACACCAAUUCUUUUACUCAAGUGAAUUACUAUUGCAUGUAAUCACGCCUGUGUGUUUUGCACUCUUUCCAUCGCUGUGAAAGAGGAACUUAAAGGUCCUAAUAGGAAGCUAUCAACCACCAAGUCCAAGUUUUGAGAACUGCAGAAACAAUAGCAAUAAAAACAAUUUAUCAAGACAUGAACUGAUAAGAAGGAGCAACAGAGAUAGCUGACUGGUUCAUGAACUCAACUUCACAGCGUGAGGUGUCUUGCACAUAUGCCAAUGAGAACUGGUCAGUUUUGCACACUGGCUAUAGGAUAAUCUCUGAAGAAAAUAGAAGAUGCAGAGCUGAUGCAUUGUGACAGCUGUGGUGUUUGUGUGCUUUUGCGUGGGUGUGAGGAAUUAACCAAUAGGCACUUUUUUUUUUGCAGCAGGAAGGAUGCCUGUAGCCAUCUUUGUCCCUUGAUCUAGGGUUGAGAAAAAUGCACAAGAAAAGGCAAAGGAGAUCUUUGUUUACUCUUCUUAUUCUAAUCCUCCCCCUCUCAACUCAUCCUCCCUUCCUCCGUUCUCUUCCCCCCACCCACUCUUUUGGCCAGUGGUGAACCAUUUUAUUGUUGAGGGGUUGGGGGGCAGCUGCUAAGAACACGUCAUGGUAAUUGAAAUGCAUAGGAAUGUCCCAAUGAAGCAACGAAAGGACCUCCACUUUGAAAUGAACUGCCCUGUCGAGGUGGGCGGCAUUCCAGUUACAGAUACACACUAACAGACUGGGUCACUGAGUAAUGAUGGAUUGAAUGCUCAACAUCAGGGGGUCAGGAAUGAAAUAAACACACUUGGAGGUCUCACGCCUUCUUCUUCCCCUGUUUUUAAAAGAUUUGACUCACUCCUACUCCCUUUUUCCUGUUCUCUAGCCAGUGUGUAGGGGUGUAAUAAGAGUUUGUUUCGUCUACUGGACUGCAACUGCUUAGACAUUCAAAUCUGCUUCAGUGUAUGACUUGUUACAGCCAUGUGGAAAUAAUACAAAUGCAAAGACAUAAUACAAAUUUAAAAUGCUCUGUUGUUAUACAAGUAUGGUUUUAUGGUCUGAAUAAUGAAUGUCUUCUGCUUUUAUCUGACUUCAGUCAAUUGAAAAACAUGAGACACUCAUGAGUUUCAGUUACAGUCCAUAUGCUCCCAAGAACAACUCCAUUGCUCAGACAUUGAGGAAGUGAAACUCAUUGAGAAUGUUUUGUCACGUCUUGCAUGUUCCCUUGAAUCCUUCUUUCUUCCUCUUUUUUUCUCCUGCAGAUGAACCUGGCACAAGUUUUUGUUAUAGAUCAUAUGAUCAGUUAUAGAUUAGUCAAGACCAACAUGAGAAUGCACACUACCUUCACACUCCCCCAAAAUGUUUUAAUUAGUAUAGAUGUUCUUAUACUUCCCUCUUGCUCCAUUGCCUUUGUUUAAUAAACUCUCCAGAAUUUUCUUUUCUCUAAAGCAGAUUAACCACUGCAUUACACCUCAUAUAGCAUGCCACAUAUUAAGAUUUUGAUAAGCUAGCUCGAUGUAUCUGUUUCUCUGUUGUCCUUACCCUCCUUCCUUUCUUAUUCUCACCAACACUUCCCUCCUCUCUCCACCCUCAUACAAAUUUGUCCCUCAGGGACACUAAAAGUCUUCUAUUCUGUUUCAAUUACCGUUGGUGCUCAGCCCCAUGCUGCAAACUCAUAAUUCAUCCCGUCAUCACUGGUGACAUCUCCAAAACACACACACACACAAACACACACACACACACACACACACAUAUAUAGAUCUUAUUCAAUCUAAAUUUAAUAAACUGUUCCAUCAUAUAAGACAAAAGAUGUUCCUGCUCUGUCUCAGAAAAGAUAAAAGGCUGAAUCUUGAGCUCUAGGACUGAAAAUGUAUGCUGGAAGCCUGCACCAUUUUUACGGUCCCAUACGUAAGCAUUCAGUUCAACCAUACAACAUUGUCGUGUGUGUUGUUUUAAUCAUAUAUGUGCAUUCCUAACAUCUAACUGACCCAUGGACACUAACUAUAGUGUGCAGCAUCCUCUAAAGAAAGAACCACAGUAAAUUAUAGCUAUACAAGAUAUGUAGCUAUGCUAUCAUCUCCUUAAACAGCAAUAUGCUUGGAUUAUGUUGAUGCUACACUCCUAAAUUGACUCCAUUGUGUGCAGAAUAAAAAAAACAAAAAAACAAAAGUAUGCCAAGAAGAAUAUACAAAUGACCACAUCAAAGCAGAGGACAGCUGGCUGAAAUCCAACCAAGAGACCCCUUAGAGAAAUCUAAUUACUCUAUUAAUACUGAAUUGGUUCUAAUUUAAUAAAGAUU
ensembl:lncRNA